rnacentral:rRNA from 1 species
GACGAACGCUGGCGGCGUGCUUAACACAUGCAAGUCGAACGGAAAGGCCCUGCUUUUGUGGGAUGCUCGAGUGGCGAACGGGUGAUUAACACGUGAGUAACCUGCCCUUGACUUUGGGAUAACUUCAGGAAACUGGGUCUAAUACCGGAUAGGAGCUCCUGCUGCAUGGUGGGGGUUGGAAAGUUUCGGCGGUUUGGGAUGGACUCGCGGCUUAUCAGCUUGUUGGUGGGGUAGUGGCUUACCAAGGCUUUGACGGGUAGCCGGCCUGAGAGGGUGACCGGCCACAUUGGGACUGAGAGAGGGCCCAGAGUCCUACGGGAGGCAGCAGUGGGGAAUAUUGCACAAUGGGCGGAAGCCUGAUGCAGCAACGCCGCGUGCGGGAUAACGGCCUUCGGGUUGUAAACCGCUUUCGCCUGUGACGAAGCGUGAGUGACGGUAAUGGGUAAAGAAGCACCGGCUAACUACGUG